rnacentral:snRNA from 1 species
ACAUUUACCUGGCAGGAGCCACACUGCUCACAAAGGUGGUUUUCCAGAGGCUUCUCCACAGUCCUCUGGAUAUGCAGAUCUUGGUGAUUUCCCCAAAUGUGGGAAACUCAACUGCAUAAUUAAUGGAAAGUACAUUCACAUCUUCUGGUUAUUCUAGUAUUUGUGUGUGUGUGUGUU